AGUAAAGUACCAGCCAGGUGAGUUACCUGCUGUCUCAGUAAAGUACCAGCCAGGUGAGUUACCUGCUGUCUCAGUAAAGUACCAGCCAGGUGAGUUACCUGCUGUCUCAGUAAAGUACCAGCCAGGUGAGUUACCUGCUGUCUCAGUAAAGUACCAGCCAGGUGAGUUACCUGCUGUCACAGUAAAGUACCAGCCAGGUGAGUUACCUGCUGUCUCAGUAAAGUACCAGCCAGGUGAGUUACCUGCUGUCUCAGUAAAGUACCAGCCAGGUGAGUUACCUGCUGUCACAGUAAAGUACCAGCCAGGUGAGUUACCUGCUGUCACAGUAAAGUACCAGCCAGGUGAGUUACCUGCUGUCUCAGUAAAGUACCAGCCAGGUGAGUUACCUGCUGUCUCAGUAAAGUACCAGCCAGGUGAGUUACCUGCUGUCACAGUAAAGUACCAGCCAGGUGAGUUACCUGCUGUCACAGUAAAGUACCAGCCAGGUGAGUUACCUGCUGUCACAGUAAAGUACCAGCCAGGUGAGUUACCUGCUGUCACAGUAAAGUACCAGCCAGGUGAGUUACCUGCUGUCAC